rnacentral:tRNA from 1 species
UAAUUGAUUUGCAUUCAGUUGAUGUAAGAUGAGAUCUUGCAGUCCUUA